UAAUAAUAUUUUGAGUAAACUUGUAUGUAUAUUAACUACAUGUUAAAUGUAUUUAUUAGGGAUUUCUAAGCAACUGGAGAAGGCUGCAAAAAAGAAGGACUGCGAAAAACUUCGAGGGUGGGUGAAGAGUAUAAGAAACCACAUAUACUGGACUGCAGCAACCUCCACCACCGGGCCUGAGAGAGUGGCCAAAUGGUUCCCUAAGUGCCUUCAUCCACUGCGCAUUGCGCAAUACCAAUGGAUGGCUGCAGGAACGCCGGCCUUUCACAAGCUGGAGACAAUUCUCUCAACCAAGAGGAUUUUGAAAGCUGUGGCCAAACUCAGCCCACACCACCAGACUUAAUCUUUGGAGUCAUUCCAUGCCGUCAUCCUGCGCUUUGCUCCAAAGAAUGUUGUGUUUCCAUUUCUUGGAAUGUUGUGCAGACUGUACCUGGCAGCCCUGCACUACAAUGAAAACGCUGAGCGUGCACAAGCCACU